rnacentral:rRNA from 1 species
UACGUAGGGUGCAAGCGUUGUCCGGAAUUAUUGGGCGUAAAGAGCUCGUAGGCGGUCUGUUGCGUCGGCUGUGAAAACCCGGGGCUCAACUCCGGGCCUGCAGCCGAUACGGGCAGACUAGAGUUCGGCAGGGGAGACUGGAAUUCCUGGUGUAGCGGUGAAAUGCGCAGAUAUCAGGAGGAACACCGGUGGCGAAGGCGGGUCUCUGGGCCGAUACUGACACUGAGGCGCGAAAGCUAGGGGAGCAAACAGG